rnacentral:rRNA from 1 species
CCUACGGGAGGCAGCAGUGGGGAAUAUUGGACAAUGGGGGCAACCCUGAUCCAGCCAUGCCGCGUGUGUGAAGAAGGCCCUCGGGUUGUAAAGCACUUUCAGUGAGGAAGAACGCCUGGUGGUUAAUACCCAUCAGGAAAGACAUCACUCACAGAAGAAGCACCGUCUAACUCCGUGCCAGCAGCCGCGGUAAUACGGAGGGUGCGAGCGUUAAUCGGAAUUACUGGGCGUAAAGCGCGCGUAGGUGGCUUGAUAAGCCGGUUGUGAAAGCCCCGGGCUCAACCUGGGAACGGCAUCCGGAACUGUCAAGCUAGAGUGCAGGAGAGGAAGGUAGAAUUCCCGGUGUAGCGGUGAAAUGCGUAGAGAUCGGGAGGAAUACCAGUGGCGAAGGCGGCCUUCUGGACUGACACUGACACUGAGGUGCGAAAGCGUGGGUAGCAAACAGGAUUAGAUACCCCAGUAGUC